rnacentral:rRNA from 1 species
AACGAACGCUGGCGGCAUGCCUAACACAUGCAAGUCGAACGAGACCUUCGGGUCUAGUGGCGCACGGGUGCGUAACGCGUGGGAACCUGCCCUUAGGUUCGGAAUAACUCCCCGAAAGGGGUGCUAAUACCGGAUAAUGUCUUCGGACCAAAGAUUUAUCGCCUUUGGAUGGGCCCGCGUUGGAUUAGCUAGUUGGUAGGGUAAAAGCCUACCAAGGCGACGAUCCAUAGCUGGUCUGAGAGGAUGAUCAGCCACACGGGGACUGAGACACGGCCCAGACUCCUACGGGAGGCAGCAGUGGGGAAUAUUGGACAAUGGGCGAAAGCCUGAUCCAGCAAUGCCGCGUGAGUGAUGAAGGCCUUAGGGUUGUAAAGCUCUUUUACCCGGGAUGAUAAUGACAGUACCGGGAGAAUAAGCUCCGGCUAACUCCGUGC